UACUCUUAUCCCGUUUGGCAGAAAAUAUCCACUCCUCAUGUACAAAGGACAUACUUACAAGAGAUUUUCUAAAUUCAUGUCUGGAAAGGUCCUAUGGCGAUGUUCCGGCAUCCUUAGAGGAUGCAAAGCCAACAUUAUCAGCAAAAACGAAAAUCCAUCGGAAGGAUUAGAGGCAUGCAAAGGGCAACAUAAUCAUGAGAGACCACAGUACCAUCAAACGGUGGAUGGAACUUGGAUCAAGGGUGACUUUCAGAAAAACGUCAGAAAUCCGCACGCUGCACAGUUUUUUUAUAAUGUUUUACAAGACAUCGGCUAGAGGUAAACGUCAGCUGGUGGUGAAUGGUUUCGCCUUCAUCUGCCGGACGUACUGCGUCAACCACAUCAAGAAGAUAUGGAAGUGCGCCUCCCACUCGGACUGCACAGCCAAAGUCCACACUAUCCAAGACCAAAUCGUCAGUCUGAACAACGCUCACAAUCAUCCAGCGCAUGCUCUAGAUACGUUUUUCUAGUCUAUAUACUUUUAUAUUUGUAAAAUAAAGUGUCAAUCAGUUUAUUUUUCCAAGAAUUUGUAUUAUUUGAAGGGUGAAUUGUAUCACUCAAUAAGUUAUUCUGGUUAAAAAUGGGUAAUUUUAAAAAUAUUGUAACAUGUGUCUUACAGACAGCGAACACAUUUGAAAAGGAUUAUAAUUUUAACAUAAUUUGCUUUUUGAAUAAUUUUCAGACUUCUUCUACACUGUGUCGCAACGCGGGAAAAGAAUACUGAAUCUCGGAAAAUAUCGAUAUCACGAAAAGGCUCUAAUGAAACCUGGCAAAUUCAGAUGGUUUUGUGCUAAAUACUACGACAGCAAUAUACGAUGCAGAGCUGCUCUAAUAACUUACGAGGAUAGGAUCGUUAAACACCUGGUCAAAGAACAUACUCAUGAUUAACCGUUCCUAUUGUGACAUACAUAAAAAUACAUAUUCCGGUUAUUUAAUAUAUUUUGUAUGAUGUUAAAUGGUGUUUUUAUCUUGUAGCAACAUCAAUGAUAGGUAUAUUGUUUUUUUUUUUAAUUCAUGAUAAUGCCAAAAGGCUUUCAUUUAAGGAAACUGACGCAAAGAUAUUUUACAGGUAAACGAGCUUUCUUUACUCAAUCCCGACGAGGCGGUGUAAUUCUCCAUAUAGGACAAUACACAUUUAACAAGAGUUACUACACGUCAGCAAAUUUCGAGAGUUCGAAAACCUCAUGGAUCUGCACUAGCUACUACGGCCGGGAUAAGUGCAAAGUCAGAGUGAAAACUCAUGGAGCUCACGUCAUCUCUAUAAAAGGACAACAUAGUCAUUAAUAAAUUUUGCUUAAGCAAU